CAGCAGCCGCGGUAAUACGUAGGGUCCGAGCGUUGUCCGGAGUUACUGGGCGUAAAGCGCGCGCAGGUGGCUCGAUAAGACUGGCGUGAAAGCCCCCGGCUCAACCGGGGAGGGUCGUUGGUGACUGUCGGGCUUGAGGGCAGCAGGGGCAGGUGGAAUUCCCGGUGUAGUGGUGAAAUGCGUAGAGAUCGGGAGGAACACCCGUGGCGAAGGCGGCCUGCUGGGCUGACCCUGACACUGAGGCGCGAAGGCGUGGGGAGCGAACGGGAUUAGAUACCCCGGUAGUCCACGCAGUAAACGAUGCCGACUAGGCGUGGGAGGACUUGACCCCUUCCGUGCCGGAGCCAACGCGGUAAGUCGGCCGCCUGGGGAGUACGGCCGCAAGGCUAAAACUCAAAGGAAUUGACGGGGGCCCGCACAAGCGGCGGAGCGUGCGGUUUAAUUCGACGCAACGCGCAGAACCUUACCAGGGCUUGACAUGCGACCGCAGGCUCAUGAAAGUGAGCGUCCUUCGAGGGUGUCGCACAGGUGCUGCAUGGCUGUCGUCAGCACGUGUCGUGAGAUGUUGGGUUAAGUCCCGCAACGAGCGCAACCC
rnacentral:rRNA from 1 species